rnacentral:rRNA from 1 species
UACGUAGGUGGCAAGCGUUGUCCGGAAUCAUUGGGCGUAAAGCGCGCGCAGGCGGUCCCUUAAGUCUGAUGUGAAAGCCCACGGCUCAACCGUGGAGGGUCAUUGGAAACUGGGGGACUUGAGUGCAGAAGAGGAAAUCGGAAUUCCAAGUGUAGCGGUGAAAUGCGUAGAGAUUUGGAGGAACACCAGUGGCGAAGGCGGCUUUCUGGUCUGUAACUGACGCUGAGGCGCGAAAGCGUGGGGAGCAAACAGG